CGGACGUGGAUAACCUGCCUCACACAGGGGAGUAACAGUUAGAAAUGACUGCUAAUACCGCAUAAGCGCACGGCAUCGCAUGAUGCAGUGUGAAAAACUCCGGUGGUGUGAGAUGGAUCCGCGUCUGAUUAGGUAGUUGGUGGGGUAACGGCCUACCAAGCCGACGAUCAGUAGCCGACCUGAGAGGGUGACCGGCCACACUGGGACUGAGACACGGCCCAG
rnacentral:rRNA from 1 species